UCAGCUGGCAGUCUCGGUUGAACAUCUUGUUCGCUCUCUCGGUCGUGCUCCUGUCUUGCGUUCCGUUCUUGUUGUGUCCACCUUUGAGCUGAAAAUUGCAAAAACAAGGGUGUUUUAGAGAUUCGAAAUCAGUCAAAGAAAAC